AGGUGGAAGUCCAAGUCAAACGCAGAA
rnacentral:piRNA from 1 species